rnacentral:tRNA from 1 species
UGCGGGGUGGAGUAAUGGCAACUCGCCAGGUUCUGGCCCUGGAAUUCUAGGUUCGAGUCCUAGCCCCGCAG